rnacentral:misc_RNA from 1 species
UCCGGUUUGACACCGGCAGUCCCCCCAGAGUCCCGUUUGCUGGCAACUGGGGGUAAGGGUUUCGCUCGUUAUGGGACUUAACCCGACAUCUCACGACACGAGCUGACGACAGCCAUGCAGCACCUGUGCGAGGUUCCGGACUGGGUACCGUUGGCCCCACGUUUCCGCGGGCUACUCCCUCGCGCUUUCGCACAUGUCAAGCCCAGGAUAAGGUUCUUCGCGUAGCCUCGAAUUAAGCCACAUGCUCCACCGCUUGUGUGAGCCCCCGUCAAUUCCUUUGAGUUUCAGCCUUGCGGCCAUACUCCCCAGGCGGGGAACUUAGCACUUUGGCUCCGGCAGUCAGCCCAUGCCGGCCGACUACCUAGUUCCCAUCGUUUAGGGCCAGGACUAC